rnacentral:rRNA from 1 species
CAGGGGAUCGCAAGACCUUGUGCUUUUAGAGCGGCCGAUGCCUGAUUAGCUUGUUGGUGAGGUAAAAGCUCACCAAGGCUUCGAUCAGUAGCUGGUCUGAGAGGACGGCCAGCCACACUGGGACUGAGACACGGCCCAGACUCCUACGGGAGGCAGCAGUGGGGAAUUUUGGACAAUGGGGGCAAGCCUGAUCCAGCCAUGCCGCGUGAGUGAAGAAGGCCUUCGGGUUGUAAAGCUCUUUCAGCCGGGAAGAAAAGGUUGCGAUUAAUAAUCGCAAUUGAUGACGGUACCGGAAGAAGAAGCACCGGCUAACUACGUGCCAGCAGCCGCGGUAAUACGUAGGGUGCGAGCGUUAAUCGGAAUUACUGGGCGUAAAGGGUGCGCAGGCGGUUUUGUAAGUCAGAUGUGAAAUCCCCGGGCUUAACCUGGGAACUGCGUUUGAAACUACAAGGCUAGAGUGUGGCAGAGGGGGGUGGAAUUCCGCGUGUAGCAGUGAAAUGCGUAGAGAUGUGGAGGAACACCGAUGGCGAAGGCAGCCCCCUGGGUCAGCACUGACGCUCAGGCACGAAAGCAUGGGGAGCAAACAGGAUUAGAUACCCUGGUAGUCCAUGCCCUAAACGAUGUCAACUAGUUGUCGGGCCUUAACGGGCUUGGUAACGUAGCUAACGCGUGAAGUUGACCGCCAGGGGAGUACGAUCGCAAGAUUAAAACU